GACGAACGCUGGCGGCGUGCCUAAUACAUGCAAGUUGAGCGAUGAAGAUUGGUGCUUGCUCCAAUUUGAAGAGCAGCGAACGGGUGAGUAACGCGUGGGGAAUCUGCCUUUGAGCGGGGGACAACAUUUGGAAACGAAUGCUAAUACCGCAUAACAACUUUAAACAUAAGUUUUAAGUUUGAAAGAUGCAAUUGCAUCACUCAAAGAUGAUCCCGCGUUGUAUUAGCUAGUUGGUGAGGUAAAGGCUCACCAAGGCGAUGAUACAUAGCCGACCUGAGAGGGUGAUCGGCCACAUUGGGACUGAGACACGGCCCAAACUCCUACGGGAGGCAGCAGUAGGGAAUCUUCGGCAAUGGACGAAAGUCUGACCGAGCAACGCCGCGUGAGUGAAGAAGGUUUUCGGAUCGUAAAACUCUGUUGGUAGAGAAGAACGUUGGUGAGAGUGGAAAGCUCAUCAAGUGACGGUAACUACACAGAAAGGGACGGCUAACUACGUG
rnacentral:rRNA from 1 species